AACGAACGCUGGCGGCAGGCUUAACACAUGCAAGUCGAACGGAUGUAGCAAUACAUCAGUGGCAGACGGGUGAGUAACACGUGGGAACCUUCCUCGUUGUACGGGACAACUCAGGGAAACUUGAGCUAAUACCGUAUACGUCCGAGAGGAGAAAGAUUUAUCGCAAUGAGACGGGCCCGCGUCGGAUUAGCUAGUUGGUGGGUAACGGCCGUACCAACGGACGACGAUCCGUAGCUGANCUGAGAGGAUGAUCAGCCACACCUGGGACUGAGACACGGCCCAGACUCCUACGGGAGGCGAGCAGUGGGGAAGUCGUU
rnacentral:rRNA from 1 species